rnacentral:misc_RNA from 1 species
ACUUCGGGUCCAGACUGGGCUGU